GAUGAACGCUAGCGGCAGGCCUAACACAUGCAAGCCGAGCGGUAUUUGUUCUUUGGUACAGAGAGAGCGGGGCACGGGUGCGGGACACGCGUGCAACCUGCCUUUAUCUGGGGGAGAGACUUUCGAAAGGAAGAGUAAUACCCAAUAAUAUAUUGAGUGGCAUCAUUUGUUAUUGAAAACUCCGUUGGAUAGAGAUGGGGACGCGCGAGAUUAGAUAGUUGGUGAGGGAACUGCUCACCAAGUAAAUGAUUGUUAGGUGGCCGGAGGGGGUGAUCCCCCACACGGGGACCGGGACACUGACCAGACUCCUACGGGAGGGAGCAGUAAGGAAGGUAGGACAAUGGAUUAGCGCCUAAUCGAGCCAACCCGGGUGAAGGACGGCGGCCCUAUGGAUUGUAAACUUCUUUUGGAAAAGCAUAAACCUACUCUCGGGAGAGUGGCUGAAGGUACUGGACGAAUAAGCACCGGCUAACUACGUG
rnacentral:rRNA from 1 species